AGGCAAGUGCGGCAGGCCAAACAUGCAAGUUCGAACGGUAGCACAGAGAGCUUGCUCUCGGGUGACGAGUGGCGGACGGGUGAGUAAUGUCUGGGAAACUGCCUGAUGGAGGGGGAUAACUACUGGAAACGGUAGCUAAUACCGCAUAACGUCGCAAGACCAAAGAGGGGGACCUUCGGGCCUCUUGCCAUCAGAUGUGCCCAGAUGGGAUUAGCUAGUAGGUGGGGUAACGGCUCACCUAGGCGACGAUCCCUAGCUGGUCUGAGAGGAUGACCAGCCACACUGGAACUGAGACACGGUCCAGACUCCUACGGGAGGCAGCAGUGGGGAAUAUUGCACAAUGGGCGCAAGCCUGAUGCAGCCAUGCCGCGUGUAUGAAGAAGGCCUUCGGGUUGUAAAGUACUUUCAGCGGGGAGGAAGGCGAUAAGGUUAAUAACCUUGUCGAUUGACGUUACCCGCAGAAGAAGCACCGGCUAACUCCGUGCCAGCAGCCGCGGUAAUACGGAGGGUGCAAGCGUUAAUCGGAAUUACUGGGCGUAAAGCGCACGCAGGCGGUCUGUCAAGUCGGAUGUGAAAUCCCCGGGCUCAACCUGGGAACUGCAUUCGAAACUGGCAGGCUGGAGUCUUGUAGAGGGGGGGUAGAAUUCCAGGUGUAGCGGUGAAAUGCGUAGAGAUCUGGAGGAAUACCGGUGGCGAAGGCGGCCCCCUGGACAAAGACUGACGCUCAGGUGCGAAAGCGUGGGGAGCAAACAGGAUUAGAUACCCUGGUAGUCCACGCUGUAAACGAUGUCGACUUUGGGAGGUUGUUCCCUUUGAGGAGUGGCUUCCGGAGCUAACGCGUUAAGUCGACCGCCUGGGGGAGUACGGCCGCAAGGUUAAAACUCAAAUGAAUUUGACGGGGGCCCGCACAAGCGGUGGAACCAUGGUGGUUUAAUUCGAUGCAACGCGAAGAACCUUACCUACUCUUGACAUCCAGAGAACUUAGCAGAGAAUGCUUUGGGUGCCUUCGGGAACUCUUGAGACAGGUGCUGGCAUGGCUGUCGUCAGCUCCGGGUUGUGGAAAAGGUUGGGGGUUAAAUCCCCCCAACGAAGGGCAACCCUUUUUCCUUUGUUGCCAGCGGGUUCCGGCCGGGAACUCCAAAGGAAACUGCCGUGGUAAUCUGGGGGAAGGGGGGGGGGGGGAGAAAAUCCAAGUCUUUCUUGGGCCCUUCCCAAAAAAGGGGGGACCCCCUUGGCUUCCAAUGGGGGGUUUUACAAAGAGAAAGGACCCCCCCCGGAACAAACGGACCCCCCAAAAAAUAGGUUGUAAUUCCCCCCAGAUGGAAGUUUGCGACUCCCAGCUCCCCUCGAAUUCGGGAUACCUCCUGUUAUUCUUGGGGUCAAAAUUAGCCCCCCGUGGAAAAACAUUUCCCCCGGCUUUUUGUUCACCCCCGCCCUCCCCCCACCACCCCGGGAGUGGGUUUUGGCAAAAAAAAUAAAAGGGGUUUAACCUUUCCGAGGGCGUUCACUUUUGGACUUCGGGUUUUGGGUGGGGGGGGGGUAGAGGGGGGGACCGGAGGAAGCAGAGGAGAAAAAAAAAAAAAAAAAAAAAAAAAAAAAAAAAAAAAAAAAAAAAGGGGGGGG
rnacentral:rRNA from 1 species